AAGAAAUAUAAAGUCACAAUUUUCCACGUCAGCAUAAUAUUUAAAAAAUAAAAAAUAAAUAAAAAUUAUAACUCCUCAAAACCCUAGCAACCUUACCCCUCUCUCAAGUUAAGAAAUAUAAAGCCACGGUUUCUACAAACUCUCUCUCUCCAGACGUAGAAAGCCCUAAAACAUUCAAGAUCUACAAAGUUCAGUUCUGUUUAUAUAUUAAUUAAUACAUAAACAGAACAAUCAGUUUGCAAGCUCUUUAUGCAAGGCCUGGAUAAGAAGGGACGCCCCAUCGUGGUUUGCUUUGGUGGCAGGCAUAAGCAGAACAAUCUAGAGGAGUUCAAGCGUUUUGUGGUCUACAGCUUAGACAAAAUAUG